rnacentral:rRNA from 1 species
UGAGUAACCUGCCCUUCGCUCUGGGAUAACUCCGGGAAACCGGGGCUAAUACUGGAUAUGACUCGAACAGGCAUCUGUUUCGGGUGGAAAGAUUUAUUGGUGGAGGAUGGACUCGCGGCCUAUCAGCCUGUUGGUGAGGUAAUGGCUCACCAAGGCGACGACGGGUAGCCGGCCUGAGAGGGUGAUCGGCCACACUGGGACUGAGACACGGCCCAGACUCCUACGGGAGCA